GCAAUAAUUUAAAAUAUUUGUGAAACUUAUCGUUUUGCGCUAAAAUACAACAAUGUGUCAUUGUUUCUGUUUUGAACAUCAUAUUCGUGCCUACCGGUGGAAAAAUUAGAGCGACAUACGGAGAAGUAAGAUGAUCAUCGUUCCGGCAAAAUUGUAGUAAACUUGACCGGUCGUUUGAACAAAUGGUUUAUUUUCUUGUACAAGCAGCCGUGGCCCGAGCAGCGCAAAUCGUGGCAGAGAAUUAUAAGUGAUAAGGAAAAUAAUAGUGCGAUAAGAAACUGGAGCUCGGGGAAAACUAUAAUUUACGUCUCUACCCAGCACGUACGCAUGUGUGGGUGCAUUUGCGAUUGUGGCCUAAGCAGCGGCCCGAAAAACCUUACCAAACCUUUUUUUAUGUUACGCUUCAAACUUACGCAGUUCUAGAUAUCCAAUUCCAAUUGUACAUUAACGUUAUGCCACAAUCACGUGCCGCCGCAGCUGCAGCUACUGGCAGAGGCCCACAGGCACUCGUAAAAAUUGGCCACUAUUUACUGGACGCAACACUCGGCACGGGCACAUUUGGUAAAGUAAAGAUUGGCGACCAUCAAAUGACGCACCACAAGGUAGCAGUAAAGAUAUUGGGCCUCAUGCAUAAAAAGUGAGUUUAAGCUCCAACUCGAUUUUCAGUACAAAUUCUUGAGCUUGAGCUCACCCCUUCAUUGCAAAAAUUGAGUCUGAGCUUAGACUCAUUUUUUAUGCAUGAGGCCCAUUAAAUCGCAUAAAUUGGUUGGAAUGGUUGGAAGUAGACCAACAACUUGCUGCCUUCUCGUCAAUUUGGUUACGUUAUGUUGACUACCUCCGGAGGCGUUAUGAAUCUUGAGGAGGCCAGACGGAAACAUUUGGGAGGCAAAAUGCUAGGAUUCUUAUUCUAAGCUGGGCACUGGGUAUUCACACUUUUGUUAGUGUAUUGAAGCUAUUGCAGCUGGCAAGAGCAACAUGUUUAUAU